GACUCAGGUGGUUUCCGGCACCAAUUACCGGCUGAUCUUGGUCGUCAAGGACGAACCUUCGACCAAGAAAUUGUUAGUUGUCGUUUGGGAGAAGCCAUGGGAGCAUUUCAAGAGUCUCACCUCGUUUAAGCCUAUGCCUGGGGGAUGGACUCCGAUAGACCCCACGGAGAAGCACGUGAUGGAGAUCGGGCAGUUCGCGGUGACAGAGUACAACAAACGGUCAAAGUGCGCGUUUAAGUUCGAGAGCGUGGAGAACGCCUGGACUCAGGUGGUUUCCGGCACAAAUUACCGGCUGAUCUUGAUCGUCAAGGACGGAGCUUCGACCAAGAAAUUUGAAGCUGUCGUUUGGGAGAAGCCAUGGGAGCAUUUCAAAAGUCUCACCUCGUUUAAACCUAUGCCUGGGGGAUGGACUCCGAUAGACCCCACGGAGAAGCACGUGAUGGUGAUCGUGCAGUUCGCGGUGACAGAGUACAACAAACGGUCAAAGAGCGCGUUGAAGUUCGAGAGCGUGGAGAAGGCCGAGACUCAGGUGGUUUCCGGCACCAAUUACCGGCUGAUCUUGGUCGUCAAGGACGGACUUUCGACCAAGAAAUUUGAAGCUGUCGUUUGGGAGAAGCCAUGGGAGCAUUUCAAAAGUCUCACCUCGUUUAAACCUAUGCCUGGGGGAUGGACUCCGAUAGACCCCACGGAGAAGCACGUGAUGGAGAUCGGGCAGUUCGCGGUGACAGAGUACAACAAACGGUCAAAGAGCGCGUUGAAGUUCGAGAGCGUGGAGAAGGCCUGGACUCAGGUGGUUUCCGGCACCAAUUACCGGCUGAUCUUGGUCGUCAAGGACGGACCUUCGACCAAGAAAUUUGAAGCUGUCGUUUGGGAGAAGCCAUGGGAGCAUUUCAAGAGUCUCACCUCGUUUAAGCCUAUGCCUGGGGGAUGGACUCCGAUAGACCCCACGGAGAAGCACGUGAUGGAGAUCGGGCAGUUCGCGGUGACAGAGUACAACAAACGGUCAAAGAGCGCGUUGAAGUUCGAGAGCGUGGAGAAGGCCGAGACUCAGGUGGUUUCCGGCACCAAUUACCGGCUGAUCUUGGUCGUCAAGGACGGACCUUCGACUAAGAAAUUUGAAGCUGUCGAUUGGGAGAAGCCAUGGGAGCAUUUCAAGAGUCUCACAUCGUUUAAGCCUAUAUUUGGGGGAUGGACUCCGAUAGACCCCACGGAGAAGCACGUGAUGGAGAUCGGGCAGUUCGCGGUGACAGAGUACAACAAACGGUCAAAGAGCGCGUUGAAGUUCGAGAGCGUGGAGAAGGCCGAGACUCAGGUGGUUUCCGGCACCAAUUACCGGCUGAUCUUGGUCGUCAAGGACGGAC
rnacentral:lncRNA from 1 species